rnacentral:rRNA from 1 species
UGCCAGCAGCCGCGGUAAUACGUAGGGUGCGAGCGUUGUUCGGAAUUACUGGGCGUAAAGGGCGUGUAGGCGGUUUUGUAAGUCAGGGGUGAAAGUCGGUGGCCCAACCAUCGAAUUGCCUUUGAUACUGCAUCACUUGAGUGUGUUAGGGGAGAGCGGAACGUGUAGUGUAGCGGUGAAAUGCGUAGAUAUUACACGGAAGGCCGGAGCCGAAGGGGGCUCUCUGGGACACAACUGACGCUGAGGAACGAAAGCGUGGGGAGCAAACAGGAUUAGAUA